CAUUUUGCCCCGAUUCACUCAAAUACAAAACUCUAUUUCCAUUUCCUUCUAAUUUCCCUCCAGAAAUUCUCUAUUAUAACUUAAUCGUGUUCUUCUUUCGGCAGAUCUUGUUGCCAAUGUUUUUUCUUCUUCUACGCCUUCAUUUGGAAAAUUGGGAGAAACAUGUCGAUGAAUUUUGACAUCGUUUGGAGGAGUUGGGGAGUCUAUAGAAGUAGACAUGACCUACGAUGAUGGAGUUAGAUUCAGUCACUCGGCUCAUAUAUGCCAGCCUUCUUUUUGUACAAUUGUCUUUCUCUAUUGUUGGUAUUCAGACUAAUUUAUUUGAUGAACUUUUCAUUUUAUGUGUUUUUAAAAUGGUAGAUACAAUUUUAGAUCUAUAUAAUCUUCACAUUUUUCAAAAUUUCAAUUUCAUUAUAUUACAUAUAUUUUAAGCGUGUUGUCAAUUUAAGUUGGCCAAGUGCUCUAGAGUGGUACUCUAAAUUGAGUUUUGAAAUGUUUGUGUUUUAUCUUGUUUGCUUUUAGACUAUCUAUGACUAUGUGUGAGUAAGUUGCCUUUUAGUUUGAGGUAGCAUGGACAUGAGGAGCAAGUCAAUAUUGAAAUAUUUAUAUAAAAGUUUGUAAAUAUCUUAAAAUUGUCUAAUUUCACACCGAUUGAGCGGUGUUGCUGGUGAAGUGAGCACAUUAAGGAACUUCACAUUUAGAAAAUUGUAAGUAUCACACUGAAAAAUUGUUCUAUCCAACUUACAAUUCCUACAAUCUCCACUGAGAUAACAAUGUCGUCGGGAUAUUGGUAGCCCAUUGUGGCAGAAAAUAGCUGCCCUGCAUCCAAAAUUAACAGUCUCUACAACGUGUUAAGAGAGAGCGAAACUAUUUUGUACACGUAACUAUUUAUUUCUGCACCCACUACAUACAAUCGACUCAGCUUACAAUGCUUCUGCUUCUAUUAAAGGAAAUCCUCCUUCCAUCUACUAGAAAGGUGAGUUACUAAGACUUGUCAAAUUUUUAAUUUAAUCCAUGACGACAAAUGUAGUAACAUUUGUUCUUAGAGAAUAUUUCAUUAUGAAUCAUUUAUAAAUAUCAUCCUAGUAUCAUUUCAAUAAAAUUUUGUUCUUAGGAAAUUUUGCGAAGAUAUUUUUUCAUUGAAACUCUGUCAUAAACUCAAGGCAUGUAUCUUCUUCCUUGUUUGGUCGCAACUCUCUGCCCGAGAUAGAUUUCAGCUCUCUGCUUGAGAUAGAAUUUUAGGUUCUGGUCAUUGAGCUGCACUAGUUCUUUCUUGGAGAAGGAUUGGAUUACUUAUCUCCAAGUUUUGGUUUUGGUCAUUGAAGGGCUUUUGGAGACGACUUGAGAAGAUUUGGAUUUCUUAAUCAUCCAAGUAAGGAAACCUGUCUAAAAGAUGAAUGCGGAGGUUUUUUGAGCGAGAAAUGCAGAAAAGUACCA